CACGCUGCGGCGGCCUACACAUGCAAGUCGAACGGUAACAGGGGUAGCAAUACCUGCUGACGAGUGGCGCACGGGUGAGUAACGCGUAUGCAACCUGCCCUGUACUGGGGGAUAGCUCGGAGAAAUCCGGAUUAAUACCCCAUAAUAAUAUAGACAGGCAUCUGUUUAUGUUUAAAGUUCCGGCGGUACAGGAUGGGCAUGCGUGCCAUUAGUUAGUUGGUGAGGUAACGGCUCACCAAGACGAUGAUGGCUAGGGGGUCUGAGAGGAUUAUCCCCCACACUGGUACUGAGACACGGACCAGACUCCUACGGGAGGCAGCAGUAAGGAAUAUUGGGCAAUGGGCGAGAGCCUGACCCAGCCAUGCCGCGUGCAGGAAGACGGCCUUAUGGGUUGUAAACUGCUUUUAUAUGGGGAAUAACCGUAGCUACGUGUAGCUGCCUGUAUGUACCAUAUGAAUAAGCACCGGCUAACUCCGUGCCAGCAGCCGCGGUAAUACGGAGGGUGCAAGCGUUAUCCGGGAAUCAUUGGGUUUAAANGGUGCGUAGGCGGAUAAAUAAGUCAGUGGUGAAAUACCCGUGCUCAACAUGGGGGGCUGCCAUUGAUACUGNUUAUCUAGAGUUUANUUGACGUUGGCGGAAUGUGUCAUGUNACNGUGAAAAUGCCUANAUAUUCCUCAGAACGCCNAUAGCGAAAGCAGCUGACUACNAUACAACUGACNCUGANGCACGAAAACGUGGGGAUCNAACAGGAUUANNUCC
rnacentral:rRNA from 1 species